rnacentral:misc_RNA from 1 species
CCCCAACAUUAGCAAGAUGGACAAAGCUUCCAUCAUCAAGGAUGCUAUUGAUUACAUCCAAGAACUGCAUGAACAAGAGAGAAGAAUCCAAGCUGAGAUAAUGGAAUUGGAAUCUGGGAAAUUGAAGAAGAGUCCUGGUUAUGAGUAUGAGCAAGAGUUGCCUGUUUUGUUGAGAUCCAAGAAGAAGAAAAUUGACCAAUUCUAUGAUUCUGGUGGCUCUAGAACUUGCCCAAUUGAAGAUCUAGAGAUGAGCGUUGAAUACAUAGGAGAAAAGACUCUGCUAGUGAGCUUGACAUGUAGUAAAAGAACAGAUACAAUGGUG